rnacentral:lncRNA from 1 species
CUCCCAUUUUGGCUGUAGUGUUUCCAAGUGCAUGGAGGAAAGCACAUUCUUUCUUAUUUAUCUCCGGUAAUGAACAUACUAUUCUCCGUCUUAAAUGUUAUCGUUUAUUUGCGUAGUAGGAUACCUAAGGUUUGAUUAUAAACGUUGUUUGACUUGUUUGGAAAAGUUUAUUAGUAACGUUUGGGAUUCAUUUGUAUGCAUUUUGAUGGAGGGAAACUGAGUGGAUUAUUGACUGAAGCGCGCCAGCUAAACUGAGUUUUUAUGGAUAUAAAGAAGGACAUUAUCGAACAAAGGACCAUCUGUGAUGUAACUGGGACCUUUUGGAGUGCCAACAGAAGAAGAUCAAAGAGAAUAAUGGCAUUGGAAGGAAACGAGACCCAUCACAUCCUCGUGUUUGUGGAUGAAGCUGGCUUCAACCUGGCCAAGGGCCGAAGACGUGGCCGUAAUAUUGUUGGCCACCGGGCCACGGCGGAUGUCCCAGGCCAGCGAGGGGGCAAUAUAACUAUGUGUGCUGCCAUAUCUGAGAAUGGUGUGGCCACUCACAUCCCCAGUCUUGGCCCAUACAAUACACAGAAGCUCCUCAUCUUCUUGGACCGCCUUCAUUUUGAUUUGAUCCCUGAAAAUGAGAGAGGUCUCGUAGGACCUCACCUACCACAAUAUGUCAUUGUAUGGGACAAUGUGAAUUUCCACCGUGGCCCGCUCAUCAGGGCCUGGUUCACUACUCAUCCAAGGAUGGUCAUGGUGUUCCUUACUCUCCUUUCCUCAAUCCUAUUGAGGAGUAUUUCUCCGCUUGGAGGUGGAGAGUGUAUGAGCAUCGGGCUCAAGAUCAGAGGUCCCUGCUCCAUGCAUUGGACGCUGCAUGUGAGGAUAUUACAGGAGAUCAGUGUAGGGGAUGGUUGCGACAUGCACGCCGUUUCUUCCCUCGUUGCAUCGCAAGGGAGAAUAUACGCUGUGAUGUGGACGAGAAUCUGUGGCCAGACAGACAGCAGCGUGUGGAUGGCCAGGAGGGUGAGGAUGGUGGUCA